UACGUAGGGUGCGAGCGUUAAUCGGAAUUACUGGGCGUAAAGCGUGCGCAGGCGGUUCGCCAAGUCAGGUGUGAAAUCCCCGGGCUUAACCUGGGAAUUGCGCUUGAAACUAGCGGGCUUGAGUGUGGCAGAGGGGGGUGGAAUUCUACGUGUAGCAGUGAAAUGCGUAGAGAUGUGGAGGAACACCGAUGGCGAAGGCAGCCCCCUGGGUCAACACUGACGCUCAUGCACGAAGGCGUGGGGAGCAAACAGG
rnacentral:rRNA from 1 species